rnacentral:rRNA from 1 species
GAUCAUGGCUCAGGAUGAACGCUGGCGGCGUGCUUAACACAUGCAAGUCGAACGAAGCACUUUAUUCGAUUUCUUCGGAAUGAAGAUUUUGUGACUGAGUGGCGGACGGGUGAGUAACGCGUGGGUAACCUGCCUCAUACAGGGGGAUAACAGUUGGAAACGACUGCUAAUACCGCAUAAGCGCACAGGGUCGCAUGACCUGGUGUGAAAAACUCCGGUGGUAUGAGAUGGAUCCG